AUUGAACGCUGGCGGCAUGCCUUACACAUGCAAGUCGAACGGCAGCGCGGGAGCAAUCCUGGCGGCGAGUGGCGAACGGGUGAGUAAUAUAUCGGAACGUGCCCAGUAGUGGGGGAUAGCCCGGCGAAAGCCGGAUUAAUACCGCAUGAGACCUGAGGGCGAAAGCGGGGGAUCGCAAGACCUCGCGCUAUUGGAGCGGCCGAUAUCAGAUUAGCUAGUUGGUGGGGUAAAGGCCUACCAAGGCAACGAUCUGUAGUUGGUCUGAGAGGACGACCAGCCACACUGGGACUGAGACACGGCCCAGACUCCUACGGGAGGCAGCAGUGGGGAAUUUUGGACAAUGGGCGCAAGCCUGAUCCAGCAAUGCCGCGUGCAGGAAGAAGGCCUC
rnacentral:rRNA from 1 species